UACGGGGGGGGCUAGCGUUGUUCGGAAUUACUGGGCGUAAAGGGCGCGUAGGCGGCCUACUAAGUCGGACGUGAAAUCCCUCGGCUCAACCGGGGAACUGCGUCCGAUACUGGUGGGCUUGAAUCCGGGAGAGGGAUGUGGAAUUCCAGGUGUAGCGGUGAAAUGCGUAGAUAUCUGGAGGAACACCGGUGGCGAAGGCGGCUCUCUGGGACGGUACUGACGCUGAGACGCGAAAGCGUGGGGAGCGAACAGG
rnacentral:rRNA from 1 species